AUUGAACGCUGGCGGCAGGCCUAACACAUGCAAGUCGAGCGGAUGAAGGGUGCUUGCUCCUGGAUUCAGCGGCGGACGGGUGUGUCAUGCCUAUGACUCUGCCUGGUAUUGGGGGUUAACGUCCGGAAACGGGCGCUAAUACCGCAUACGUCCUGUGGGAGAAAGUGGGGGAUCUUCGGACCCCACGCUAUCAGAUGAGCCCAGGUCGGAUCAGCUAGUUGGUGGGGUAAAGGCCUACCAAGGCGACGAUCCGUAACUGGUCUGAGAGGGUGACCAGUCACACUGGAACUGAGACACGGUCCAGACUCCUACGGGAGGCAGCAGUGGGGAAUAUUGGACGAUGGGCGAAAGCCUGAUCCAGCCAUGCCGCGUGUGUGAAGAAGGUCUUCGGAUUGUAAAGCACUUUAAGUUGGGAGGAAGGGCAGUAAGUUAAUACCUUGCUGUUUUGACGUUACCAACAGAAUAAGCACCGGCUAACUUCGUG
rnacentral:rRNA from 1 species